rnacentral:lncRNA from 1 species
AAGAGUUUCAUGAUUCACAAAUUGGUGGCCAUUUAGGAGUUCUAAAGACUUACAAACGCAUUGUACAACAGUUCUACUGGCCAUCACUGUACAAAACCGUAAAGGAGUAUGUGGCGGCUUGUGACAUCUAUCAAAAGUCCAAUGCUGAAACGCUCUCUCCUGCAGGUCUUCUCCAACCACUACCCAUUCCAUGUCAAGUGUGGGAGAAUAUCACUUUGGAUUUUAUUGAAGGAUUGCCUAUAUCACAUGGUAAAGAUAUCAUUCUGGUAGUAGUGGACAGACUAAGUAAGUAUGCUCACUUCCUUACUUUAGCUCACCCAUUUACUGCCAAAACAGUAGCUGAAAGAUUUGUUGACGGGGUAGUGAAACUUCACGGUAUGCCAAGGUCUACUGUUAGUGAUCGUGAUCCGAUUUUUCUCAGUAAAUUUUGGCAAGAAUUUUUUAAGCUUUCAGGAACCCAUUGAAAAUGAGUGCAGCAUACCAUCCCCAAACAGAUGGCCAAUCGGAAGUGACCAAUAGGUGUGUGGAACAAUAUUUACGCUGCUUUGUAUACCAGCAAACUCGUAAAUGGAGUGAUCUCAUCCCAUGGGCUGAAUUUUGGUACAACACCGCCUACCACGCAUCUACAGGGAUGACUCCUUUUCAAGCCCUCUAUGGUCGGCUGUCUCCUGCAAUCCCAUAUUAUCAGAAGGGAACAACGCUCGUCAAUGAGGUCGAUCAAAGUCUUUCCUCGCGGGAUGCCUUACUCAAUCAAUUGAAAAACAAUUUGCUUGUCGGUAGUAAUCGUAUGAGGCAGGCAGCGGAUAAGAAAUGACGUGAUAUCGAGUUUCAAGUUGGCGACCUUGUCUAUCUUAAGUUACAUCGUUAUCGCUAGCACUUAGUUUUCAAAAGAGCUUAUCACAAACUUGCUAGCCGAUUUUAUGGGCCUAUAAAGUGGAGCAACGUGUGGGAAAGGUGGCAUACGAGCUGCAGUUGCCGGAAGGAGCUCGUAUUCACCCUAUAUUUCAUGUCUCCUUACUUAAAAAAGAAGCUGGGUACUCCUUGUGCUGUCAACAACAAACUACCACCCAUUUCUGAGGAUGGCAUUGUUGAGCUAAAACCCGAGUCAAUCUUGGAGACGCGCCAGGUUGAAAAAGGGAAGAAGUUUGUUGAAGAAAGCCUAGUUAAGUGGCUUCGUCUUCCAGCAGAGGAAGCUACCUGGGAAGAUACUCAGGAGCUGAUUAACCAGUUCAAGGAUGUGGACCUCGAGGACAAGAGUCCACUUCGACGGGGAGGUAAUGAUAAGCCAUGGCAAUCUAGGCAAUCUCAACGCAUGCGCAAGAAGACCCGCAGGUACGUGGAACCUUUUAAAGUGCAUUUUCUAAUCUACCUCAUCCAUUUUAAUUUAACAUUCAAUUAGUUCGAUCUAAAAUCAAGUUCUAAAGACAUUUAUUCUCCUGUAUGAAAUUUAUUCGAACUAUACUUUAUGAAAUUUUCAUGAAUCUUUAUUGGCAUUAAACUACUGCCCCGUUGUUUUCUUCUUUGAGGAUAAGCUGUAAGAUCCCUCUUAGGACUGAAACCUCCAGACUCCAGAGAGAGUGGGUGUGAUCAUACUCCUCUAAAUGUCUACAUCUCCCAGCUGUUCUCUUUCCUGGGCAUUUUCAUGUCGAUGGUGCGUCCAAAAGGUACAAGACAAAAAU